GUGACGGCUUUGGCAGCACACAUACUAAAAUUGGAACAAUACAGAGAAGAUUAGCAUGGGCCCUGCACAAGGAUGACACAUAUACUCAUGAAGUGUUCCAUAUUAAA
ensembl:snRNA U6 U6 spliceosomal RNA